UAGGGAAUCUUCCGCAAUGGACGCAAGUCUGACGGAGCAACGCCGCGUGAGUGAAGAAGGAUUUCGGUUCGUAAAACUCUGUUGUUAGAGAAGAACAGCGCAUAGAGUAACUGUUAUGCGUGUGACGGUAUCUAACCAGAAAGCCACGGCUAACUACGUGCCAGCAGCCGCGGUAAUACGUAGGUGGCAAGCGUUGUCCGGAUUUAUUGGGCGUAAAGCGAGCGCAGGCGGUCAAUUAAGUCUGAUGUGAAAGCCCCCGGCUCAACCGGGGAGGGUCAUUGGAAACUGGUUGACUUGAGUGCAGAAGAGGAGAGUGGAAUUCCAUGUGUAGCGGUGAAAUGCGUAGAUAUAUGGAGGAACACCGGUGGCGAAAGCGGCUCUCUGGUCUGUAACUGACGCUGAUGUGCGAAAGCGUGGGGAUCAAACAGG
rnacentral:rRNA from 1 species